GCGUUAGUAGUGCAACGGGUUAGAGCACGCGCUCCCGGAUACAGAUAGAUGUGGGUUCGAGUUCCGCCUGAAGCA